ACCCGACCAUAGAAAAAAAAACAACAGCAGAAGGUCACCAACAGGUCUUCAAUGUAGCGAGAAAUUCCCGCACCCGGAGGCGUCCUUCAGCUGGCCCUUAAACAAAUAUAUACUAGUUCAGUGAUAAUGAACGCCAUACUAAUUUCCAAAUUGUACACAAGAAACUAAAAUUAAAAUAAUACAAGACUAACAAAGGCCAGAGGCUCCUGACUUGGGACAGGCGCAAAAAUGCGGCGGGGUUAAACAUGUUUGUGAGAUCUCAACCCUCCCCCUAUACCUCUAGCCAAUG
rnacentral:lncRNA from 1 species